rnacentral:rRNA from 1 species
AUUGAACGCUGGCGGUAUGCUUAACACAUGCAAGUCGAACGGUAACAGGCCUUCGGGCACUGACGAGUGGCGGACGGGUGAGUAACGCGUAGGAAUCUGCCUCAUAGUGGGGGACAACGUGGGGAAACUCACGCUAAUACCGCAUACGCCCUACGGGGAAAGCGGGGAUCUUCGGACCUCGCGCUAUGAGAUGAGCCUGCGUUAGAUUAGCUAGUUGGUAGGGUAAAGGCCUACCAAGGCGACGAUCUAUAGCUGGUCUGAGAGGACGAUCAGCCACACUGGGACUGAGACACGGCCCAGACUCCUACGGGAGGCAGCAGUGGGGAAUAUUGGACCAAUGGGCGCAAGCCUGAUCCAGCAAUACCGCGUGUGUGAAGAAGGCCUUA